AUCAGGUGACAAGAGCCUAUGAAUUGCAAACUCCUUAUUAAUGGCACACAGGGAGUAAAAUCAUAAUUUUUCUGAUGACUUCUGUUGAAGAGUUGUCUGAUGCUGAAUUUAUUCAUUUGUAAAAUGAAUCUUGAAUUGCAUUAUUUCAAAAUUCUUUUCUUGUUCCAAAAUGCAUUUUCCCCCAUGUUUGUACAUAAGCACAAUACAUGAAAUUUAAACUACAAUAGUCUCUAGUGGAAAGAUUUCAAGUCCCUUGAGAAUUUCUAUUUUAUUUUUCUCUCUUGGUAUAAAGUCCCCUGAAAACACUAAAAACUCAUGAGCCGAGAGAAGCAGUUGAGCUGACGUAUGACUAAAGCAUUCCUUAUAACAUUAAUGCCCUAUUUUCUCAUUGUUCAAUAUUGGACAGAUUUUCUAACAUUCCAAAUCUGGCUGAUCUAUCAGUAGACUUACAUUUUAAUGAGAUUCCAAACAUUUACAUGUGAUGCUCUGUAAACUGGAUAACAUUGCAAAGUACUUCACUGGAAAAUAUGAAUUAUUAUGUACUUCAUUUAUUUUGACUUAAAUUACUCAAUGGCCUUAGUGUGUCUCCAUGGGUAUUUAUUCUCUUUUUUUGGUAAAAUGUCAUAUCCUGAAGGUCUAAACACCUAAGCUUUCCAUCAUAUUUUUCUCUUUGAAUAAUAGGUAUUAAUUCUAUAAGGUCACCUUGAAUUAUGUAAAACAAAAAAAAACAAAAAACAAAAAAUGCCUUCAUUAUGUUGUACCAAACUCAAUUGGUUUACCCAGUCUAUUGACAUCAUCUGGAGAUUAACCAAAGUUUAACACUGAAUUUUGCAUAUUUCCAGAUGAAAUACCAGACUGAUUUCUGCUCAUUUUUUUAAAGUGUAUUUCUUAAACCUUAAGAAUUUAUUUUGAAUAAGUUUACUUUUGUAUCAUAAAAUCUGGAAGAUGAAUGACAUUUGAAGAAAGUAAACUGUUCAAUGAAGACUCAAGCAAUCAUCAAAUUUAAAUAUUCCAAUAUGAUCAAUCCAAUUUUACUCUUAAGUUAUUCAUUGUAUUAUAAAAAAGUCACUAUAAGCUUUCCUUACUUGGAUACUCUAAUUUCUAAUUUUAUUUCUUCUGAUUCAUUGUGAACCUAUUUAAUAUAAGUCAGGAGGUGUUUUUCGGUACUCUUGGGGAGGAAGGAGCAAUUUUUUACUGGAAAAAUUUUAUUUCUGACUUAAUAUUAAUUAUUCUCUUGAAGUAAGCUUGAAGUCUCUUUUAAAAUGUGUCAUAUUUAAUUUUCCUUUGGACUUCUUUAAAGUUUAGGUUUCUUUUACAUGUAUUGAGAAUAUGUUCGCUGGGGCAAGAGAUUAUGAGAGCAAAUUUAGGAUUGAUUGGAUAGCCUCAAUUAAAUGGGGGGGAGGAUAUGAUUUUUUAAAAUGUCUUCUCAGGCCUCACACAUGGAUUGACACUUCAUAGGUACUCAAAGAUGUUAAACUACUUAUUGAGUGGUUCUCCUCUAGGAGUUUGACUCUCUUGGUUCAGACAUGCGGUUCUGUGUAUUUGCCUAAGUAGUGUUUUGUUAUUACCUCAGUUUUUGUUUUACUGACCAUCCUUUGUGAAUUUUUGACUAUAAAGAUGGAGCAUACAUUGACAGUGCUAAAACCUGAUCUUCAGUUUUGAAAAUAUUAAUAUGGAUAUGGCUCAAAUUUGGAGUUUUCAAAUAGUGGUUUCUUAAGUUGUGUGUAGCACAAUAGUUAAACCAUCCUGAGGACUGUCUGUGUAAUCCUCAGCAACACUUGGAAGGAAAGGAGAUUAAGUAAUCACUAUUGUGAUUUUUAGUCCCUGGGGAAACAAAGAAAAUAGAGGGAGUAGACUCUUGGACUAAUUAGGAAGUGAGAUAAGGGUCAAUGAUCCCCUCCAAUAUUGGAAACAGCAAAGAUGACCAGGCAGGGGAGAUUUUGCCAAAUCCAGAAGUACUGAAAUUGGCAGCAAGGAAAAAGGUUUAAUUUUUCAGAGUAAUGUAAGUUAAUUAUCCAAAGGAUGGGAGUUUCGUUGAAGAUGAGAAAAGAGUCUAUUUCAGAACUUGAAGGAAGAAGGACGGAGGCAAGAUGUAGAAGAAAUAAUGUAGGUUGCUAGGAUGGCAGGUGCUUGGGGACCAGUUCAAGUGGUUAUUUAACUCUAGUCAUUUGGUCUUCACUCUCCAACACCCUCACCUGUCCUCGAGGAAGAAGAUGAAGCCAUGGGGAGGAACAGACUAAGCAAAAUGUAAGUACUGGGUGAGGUCACUUUUUAUUUCUUUUCUCUACUUUCAUGUCCCAUUUUUGCAUCUGAAGGCUCUGUCCAGGGCCUUCUUCCUCUCUACCAGCCCCUCCUCCUUCUCAAGUUUUUGAUAGGCAGAAACCUUACUUCUUUCUUUUUUUUCCAAUCAUUUAGGACUUUUAGGGAAAUUUCACAUUACAGAGAAUCAGUUUUCAGAAACUACCAAGGUAAAGCAUUCCAAAACUCAUAAAAAAUGAAUAAAAAUAAACUGACAUUAGAAAUGAUAUUGUCUAAUCAUUAACUAUCAAGAAAAUUACCAUUGACUUUGUAUUGCCCAGUUAUCACUACUUCUCUUCCCAUUGGUCAACUUGCAUCACUGACUUAAAUAAUUCAGGGGUGGAUUUCUAUGUUGAGAUUAGUUUAAAAAAAUUUUUUUUGGAGUUUUGGAGUUUUGUGGCUCAGCAGAAAUGAAUCUGACUAGCAUCCAUGAAGAUACAGGUUUGAUCCCUGGCCUUGCUCAUGGGUUAAGGAUCUGGCGUUGCCAUGAGCUGUGGUGUAGGUCACAGAUGAAGCUCAGAUCUGGCUUUGCUGUGGCUGUGGCAUAGUGAGGCAUCUGUAGCUCUGAUUUGACCCCUAGCCUGGGAACCUCCAUAUGCUGAGGGUAUGGCACUAAAAAGAUUUUUUAAAAAUUUGUUUUUAUUUUAAUAAAUAUUAUUCAAAUAUUGUAAACUGAACCAGGGUAGAGGAUUGUCUGUUUCCUUACCAACAUGCACACAAAUCCAGACUAGUGCUGCACACAGUAGAACAUGACAUUAAAGGAUUCCGGUGCUGGAGCUGAACACCAUGGGUUGGCUGUGGUGCUGCCAUCUUAAGACACUGGGCAUCCAAUUAACUCUUCUCUGUCUCAGCACAAUGAGAUUCUAAGCAUCCCAUUAAUACUCUGGCACCAAAUAGAGAUAAUAAUAGUUUCUACCAGGUAAGGUUGUUGUGAGAGAUAAAGGAUUUAAACAUGCAAAUUCCAAAUCUCCCUGAUAUGUCCAACCUUCAUUUUUGCUAUUAUUAUUUUUAUUAUUGGUGGUGGUGAAGGUAGCAUUAAUAACUAUUUAAGAAAAAGGGGAAAGAUCAGAGUUCACAUAGAUUUGUAAGAAUUGAAUAAAAUAACACAUAACAAAAGGAAAAACUGUUAAUAAUUACCGCUGACAAGGAUAUUCAUAUUGAGAACUAGUGUCAAGAAUCUUUACCCUUCUCUGAACUCACAGUGUGGGCAGAAGUAUGUGGCUUUGCACACACUUUGACUUCCCCUCUAAUAUACCUACAUACCUCUUUUUCCUGAUACAUUCUCAAAAAUGCCUCAAGAACCAUGUCAAAAAUAAUUUUCCUAGGACCUCACCCCAGGCAUUUCUUCUGAUCCCAAUGUGUUGUUCUUAUCAUUGUUAUGUCACACCUUUUCUCAUGGUAAUAUGUGGAAUGAUCAUGUGAAAUAUUAAUAAUGUUUCAUUUUUUAGAGUUGCCAUUUCCAUCUUGUCAGAAUGGACUUGACUCCUGAGGUUGCAAGAUUUCUUGGAGUCUUGAAUGUUUUAAUGCAUUUGGAGAUUUUUUUUUUUAAGUUGGCACAUUUCCCAAAUUUACACCAGCCUAUAACUGUUUCUAAUUCUGAGAAAUCUUUUAAUACAUCUUGAAGUACUGCAAAAUGUAAAUUCCAAUAAUUUGAUUACAUGAUUUCUGCUUUCCAUAAAGAAAAGUGACCCCUUUUGUACCUUUUUCUACCUCUAUUGCCCAACUAAUGUAUGAAUCUCUAUGAAUACAUUAUUUAAGAAUGAUUGAGUGAUAACUAUAUACUAGAUCAAAUACAAGUCACUGGGAAUACAACGACAAACAAUAUGCCCCACAUCCAAUUGAACUUACUUUCUAAAGCAGUACUUCUCAUAAAGUCCUUAUAAAAAUAUGCAUUGUUGUAAUCCUAAUUCCUAGAACUACUUCUGAGAAAUUUAUUCAGUAGGUUUGGCAGGAAGCAGUUUGUUAUGGGGAGUUUUUGGUCCACUUCAUAAGAAUGACACUGGUGUAUUCAUUAGGAUAUUUUUUAGCUAUAAGUACAAAAAAUCGAUUCAACUUGCCUUAAGCAAAAACAGGAAAUUUUACCAACAAGAUAGUGAAAGCUAGGCAUGUCUAGAUCAGGGUCCAAAAAUCAUAUUUUAAGGAAAUCAUCUCUCUUCCUUUAUUAGCUAUUUGUUUCCUCUUUGCUGGCUUAAUUCUUAAGCAAUCUCUCUCAUUCUAGAAGUCCUAAAUAGCUUUAGGUAUACAUUCUCAGAGUUGAGCAGAAAGAGAGCUAUGAGAGCUUUUCUUUUGACAAGUCCUGGGAUUAACGUUCAUUGACCUCUCAGAGAUUUCACUGAAUCUCUGUGUCAAUACCCUCUGCUCUUUUUAUUAUUCUAUUUUCUUCUUUGUCUUAAAUCAACAGUAAUCACCACAGAAUGACAAAAUGAUUGUACUUGGUUGAAUAACAUCAACCUGACAAAAUUCACAGGGUCAAUAUAUAUAUUUUAGUUUAUAUAUAUUUCAUUAUAUAUUUCAGGCUACAUCUGCAGCAAAUGGAAGUUUCUGGGCCAGAAUCAGAGCUGCAGUUGUGGCCUAUACCACAGCAACAGAAACACCAGAUCUAAGCGACAUCUACAACUACAGCUUGUGACAACACCAGAUCCUUAACCAGCUGAGCCAGGGCAGGGAUUGAUCCUGCAUCCUUAGAGAGAUAACAUCAGGUUUUUAACCUGCUGACCCAUAACAGGAAUUCCUUGAAAUAUGUGUACUUGAAAUAAAGUCUUUAUAAAUGUGAAAAAAAAAGUGUAAUUGACC
rnacentral:lncRNA from 1 species